rnacentral:rRNA from 1 species
GAUGAACGCUGGCGGCGUGCCUAAUACAUGCAAGUCGAGCGAACAGAUGAGGAGCUUGCUCCUCUGACGUUAGCGGCGGACGGGUGAGUAACACGUGGAUAACCUACCUAUAAGACUGGGAUAACUUCGGGAAACCGGAGCUAAUACCGGAUAAUAUAUUGAACCGCAUGGUUCAAUAGUGAAAGACGGUUUUGCUGUCACUUAUAGAUGUAUCCGCGCCGCAUUAGCUAGUUGGUAAGGUAACGGCUUACCAAGGCAACGAUGCGUAGCCGACCUGAGAGGGUGAUCGGCCACACUGGAAGUGAGACACGGUCCAGACUCCUACGGGAGGCAGCAGUAGGGAAUCUUCCGCAAUGGGCGAAAGCCUGACGGAGCAACGCCGCGUGGGUGAUGAAGGUCUUCGGAUCGUAAAACUCUGUUAUUAGGGAAGACCAAAUGUGUAAGUAACUAUGCACGUCUUGACGGUACCUAAUCAGAAAGCCACGGCUAACUACGUG